UGGGGGAUAUUGCACAAUGGGCGAAAGCCUGAUGCAGCGACGCCGCGUGGGGGAUGAAGGCCUUCGGGUUGUAAACUUCUUUUGCUCUGAACAAGGCAUGCUUUUGGGGUGUGUUGAGUGUAGGGGUUGAUUAGCGCCGGCUAACUACGUGCCAGCAGCCGCGGUAAUACGUAGGGCGCGAGCGUUGUCCGGAAUUAUUGGGCGUAAAGAGCUUGUAGGUGGCUGGUUGCGUCUGUCGUGAAAGCUCAUGGCUUAACUGUGGGUUUGCGGUGGGUACGGGCUGGCUUGAGUGCAGUAGGGGAGGCUGGAAUUCCUGGUGUAGCGGUGGAAUGCGCAGAUAUCAGGAGGAAUACCGGUGGCGAAGGCGGGUCUCUGGGCUGUUACUGACGCUGAGGAGCGAAAGCGUGGGGAGCGAACA
rnacentral:rRNA from 1 species